UACAGAGGGGGCAAGCGUUGUUCGGAAUUACUGGGCGUAAAGGGCGCGUAGGCGGCCUGCUAAGUCGAACGUGAAAUCCCCGAGCUCAACUCGGGAACUGCGUCCGAUACUGGCAGGCUUGAAUCCGGGAGAGGGAUGCGGAAUUCCAGGUGUAGCGGUGAAAUGCGUAGAUAUCUGGAGGAACACCGGUGGCGAAGGCGGCAUCCUGGACCGGCAUUGACGCUGAGGCGCGAAAGCAAGGGGAGCAAACGGG
rnacentral:rRNA from 1 species